rnacentral:tRNA from 1 species
UAGAUUUUAGCGAAGUAUUUUGAAAAUACAUAAUAAGGUUCUGCCUUUAAAUAAA